rnacentral:lncRNA from 1 species
CAAUUACAGUAAAUGCCUUUUAUCAGAUAAAAUCGUAUACCACCCGUUUUGUUUAUCUUGGAAUGCAACUAAAGAUUAAUUUUUUAAAUUUAUUCAGAUUGUAUGAUUUAUAAGCAUUUUAAAAUCAUUCAAAUUAAAUACUGUACAUUUAAAAAGUUCAUGCAAUAGGAAUGAAUUUUAUGCAUGAUUUUUUAUUCAAUUUCGAUUAAAUUUUCAAUUAUUAAAUAUAAUCAUUUUACGUAAUUCAGUUAAUUAUAAAUGAUAAUUUUUAUGUCGUCACUAAUUUUUUUAUUGACUUGCUUUGUGCAAAUUAUUCCUUCAUUAAUUAGUACAUUUAACGAACUAGUUAAGCAUUUAAAUAAGUCUAUAUGAAUUGAAUAACCAUGGAAAAGUAAUAAACGGCGUACGCUGUCAUAUAUAUGCUUUAUGAUAACAAUGACAAUAAUUUGAGCUUUGAUGAUUGAAGAUGACACACCGAAAUGCUUUUAAAUGUCUCCAACUUUUUGAAAUGCAUUACGUUGUUCGUCCGUGCGGGACUUUCGGUUUUGUCAAUAAUGAUGAAUUAUCUUUGUGUGAAAUUUUUGCCAGUUCAUUUUUCAGUAGCUUGUUCUAAACCAAUAACCCCUGCAAAGAUAUUGAAUCGAUCAAUAAUUAUAACGAAUAAAAAUUUAGUUGUUAAUCAAAUCUGUAAUUAAAUUUCUGGGAUUAAUUAUUAAUAAUUAAUGUAUGUAGAAGUUUUAAGUCAAAAAUCUGAAUUAUUUAUUAUCCUAAUCGAAUCUGUGAAUUUUAAAUUUUAAUAUAUGCUUUCCAGUUUUUUUAAUUUAAAAAGUUUUCCAUUUUUUUUUAUCUUACUGUUUACAGUUGGAAAAUACCAGGAGUGAACUUUUCUGUCAGUUUUUUUCCUAAUGUAUCAGAAAAUCCUUUCUUUUUUGAUCUCCGCCCAGCCGUUGGAUGGACAGUCUUCACUGUCACAGUCAGCUACGCCAACUGUUUACUCUGUCAAUAUUCGGUUCUGUUGCCAUCUUUGUGCACCUGAGCCUUUCUGAUAUUGCUUGUAUCUCUAUAUCCUGAUAAUGUAACUUGAUAUCCUUAUGUAAGUAAUGGAUUUAGAUCUUGUAUGAACAAUUAGGUUUGCAAUCUGUUAAUUAAUGAAAUAUUGUAAUUAAAUACCUUUAAUAAGCGUAUUGCUAAUAUUAGUUAACAAAUUGUUCAUUUAGCUAUAUUUUUUGAAAAUUUUAAUAAUAUAUUCGUGCAGAUAUUUGGUG